GUGGGGAAUUUUGGACAAUGGUCGAAAGCCUGAUCCAGCCAUGCCGCGUGUGUGAAGAAGGUCUUCGGAUUGUAAAGCACUUUAAGUUGGGAGGAAGGGCAGUAAGUUAAUACCUUGCUGUUUUGACGUUACCGACAGAAUAAGCACCGGCUAACUUCGUGCCAGCAGCCGCGGUAAUACGAAGGGUGCAAGCGUUAAUCGGAAUUACUGGGCGUAAAGCGCGCGUAGGUGGUUUUGUAAGUUGGAGGUGAAAUCCCCGGGCUCAACCUGGGAACUGCCUCCAAAACUGCAUGACUAGAGUACGGUAGAGGGUAGUGGAAUUUCCUGUGUAGCGGUGAAAUGCGUAGAUAUAGGAAGGAACACCAGUGGCGAAGGCGACUACCUGGACUGAUACUGACACUGAGGUGCGAAAGCGUGGGGAGCAAACAGGAUUAGAUACCCUUGUAGUCC
rnacentral:rRNA from 1 species